rnacentral:tRNA from 1 species
GUUAGUGUGGCAGAUUAGUGCGGAGGAUUUAAGCUCUUCAUAUAUAGGUUAUUAUCUCUAAUA